rnacentral:rRNA from 1 species
UUCGUAGGACAGUCCUUCUGCUGGUAACACUUGCCGAAGCCUUAGCAGCCUGAAAGGGUGCCCCUCGACGACUCGAAAUAAAAUUAGAGGGUCUCAAAUGCUAGUCCACUGUAUAUAGGGUGGGCAACACUGUCAAAUUGCGGGGAACCCCUAAAGACCUUGACACCAAGCGUCUGCUGGAAACAGCGGCGUGGCCGAGCUAAUAGCCCUGGGUAUGGUAAUAGUUCAAGGUAUGAGCCCGAGUGAUCGGGUGAAAUGGGCGAUCUGCAGCCAAGUCCUAAGGUCUCUGUAGGCUACGGAUGCUGUUCACAGGCCAAAUGGCAGUGGGUGGGAGUAUCAUCUCCUGCUUAAGAUAUGGUCGGUCCCCUUGCGAGAGCUUGGGGGUAAGUUUACCGGAUAAAUAAUGAGCAAUUUUACCAGGUGUUCUAUAAGUCCGAGAAGCCCAAGGAAAUGUCCGUCGAAAACCUCUCUCCACCCCCUGGUCUGGAGUUUUGGGAGAGGGGGGCAUGAAAUGGACUUUAUCGAUUUGCGACGAAUAUCUGCGCUUGCUUGUUUUGUGGUUCUCAGAAAUUCUGAGUACUUUUUACGUUCCGUAGGUGAACCUGCGGAAGGAU